CACAACAGCGUAGAAUUUUUCUGUAGUUGUAGCCCGUAGCGCAGAAAUCUGCGGAAUUUAGAUUUUUCCGUUUCAGCUGAUUUCUUCAUUCUAUAGAUGGCUGCCACUUCGUCAGUUUUGCAGAUGGUAAAAAUGUUAUAAUUCCCUAUUCAAAAUACUGUGUUAGAAGUACAGUAG